rnacentral:rRNA from 1 species
UCAGGACGAACGCUGGCGGCGUGCUUAACACAUGCAAGUCGAACGAUGAUGCCCAGCUUGCUGGGUGGAUUAGUGGCGAACGGGUGAGUAACACGUGAGUAACCUGCCCCUGACUCUGGGAUAAGCGUUGGAAACGACGUCUAAUACUGGAUAUGAUCACUGGCCGCAUGGUCUGGUGGUGGAAAGAUUUUUUGGUUGGGGAUGGACUCGCGGCCUAUCAGCUUGUUGGUGAGGUAAUGGCUCACCAAGGCGACGACGGGUAGCCGGCCUGAGAGGGUGACCGGCCACACUGGGACUGAGACACGGCCCAGACUCCUACGGGAGGCAGCAGUGGGGAAUAUUGCACAAUGGGCGAAAGCCUGAUGCAGCAACGCCGCGUGAGGGAUGACGGCCUUCGGGUUGUAAACCUCUUUUAGUAGGGAAGAAGCGAAAGUGACGGUACCUGCAGAAAAAGCACCGGCUAACUACGUGCCAGCAGCCGCGGUAAUACGUAGGGUGCAAGCGUUGUCCGGAAUUAUUGGGCGUAAAGAGCUCGUAGGCGGUUUGUCGCGUCUGCUGUGAAAUCCCGAGGCUCAACCUCGGGCUUGCAGUGGGUACGGGCAGACUAGAGUGCGGUAGGGGAGAUUGGAAUUCCUGGUGUAGCGGUGGAAUGCGCAGAUAUCAGGAGGAACACCGAUGGCGAAGGCAG